rnacentral:rRNA from 1 species
UACGUAGGGACCGAGCGUUGUCCGGAUUCAUUGGGCGUAAAGAGCUCGUAGGCGGCUGCUCAAGUCGAAUGUGAAAACUCGAGGCUCAACCUCGAGCCUGCAUUCGAUACUGGGCGGCUAGAGUCUGGUAGGGGGAUCUGGAAUUCCUGGUGUAGUGGUGAAAUGCGUAGAGAUCUGGAGGAAUACCAGAGGCGAAGGCGGCUUGCUGGGGUGGAAUUGACGCUCAGACACGAAAGCAUGGGGAGCGAACGGG